UGGAGUGUGACAAUGGUGUUUGUUUCCUCUUCGUCAAACGCCAUUAUCACACUAAAU
ensembl:miRNA MIR122 microRNA 122